GCAGCAUAGCAGCCCUGGGUAGCCAGAACCAUCCUACAGCUCACAAUGGAAAGGGAGAUGGAAGGAAUCUGGAGAAACAGGCCCCAAGAGUGCUUCAUAAACAGAAAAGAGUAAAGACCCAGACGAGUUGAGGAUCUAUCAUCUCAUGGAGGAAAAAGGUCGUGAAGGAAGAGGAGAUGUGGCAUGAACAUGUGAAGACACAGGGAGAAGACGGCUGCCGGCAAGCCCAGGACAAAGGACCUCAGAGCGAACCCAGGACACGUUUCCUGACGCAGCACGGAAGCAUCACUUGUCAUUUAUAUGCCUAUUGGACUAUCUUUAAAAUUAUCACAGACUCAUCUACAGAAAAUUGAGAUUAUUUAUGUGGAAGAUGUUUCAGACAGUAAGUAAAUUGUGGUGCAUUUUUUAGCAGUGUGUAUGCAAACAAAGAUUUUGA